CCUACGGGUGGCUGCAGUGAGGAAUAUUGGUCAAUGGGCGCGAGCCUGAACCAGCCAAGUAGCGUGAAGGAUGACUGCCCUACGGGUUGUACACUUCUUUUAUAAAGGAAUAAAGUGAGGCACGUGUGCCUUUUUGUAUGUACUUUAUGAAUAAUGAUCGGCUCACUCCGUACCAGCAGCCGCGGUCAUACGGAGGAUCCGAGCGUUAUUCGGAUUUAUUGGGUUUAAAGGGAGCGUAGAUGGGUUGUUAAGUCAGUUGUGAAAGUUUGCUGAUCAAACGUAAAAUUGCAAUUGAUACUGGCAGCCUUGAGUACAGUUGAGGUAGGCGGAAUGCGUGGUGUAGCGGUGAAAUGCUUAGAUAUCACGAAGAACUCCGAUUGCGAAGGCAGCCUACUAAACUGCCACUGACAUUGAUGCUCGAAAGUGUGGGUAUCAAACAGGAUUAGAUACCCGGGUAGUC
rnacentral:rRNA from 1 species